rnacentral:tRNA from 1 species
GGCUCGUUGGUCUAGGGGUAUGAUUCUCGCUUUGGGUGCGAGAGGUCCCGGGUUCAAAUCCUAGGCGAGCCC